UUUAGGCUCUUAUGAAGAAAGAAAAGAUUCUAGGAUACGAAGAUAAUAUACAUACCAGGUGUAUCUGCUGCCAGUUACAUCCUCUGUCUAGAGUUGCUGUAAAUGAUAAAUGUGGGUGCAUUUCGUGUAUGUGCCUCACUUGCCUUCAGAAUAAGGAUAUGCCGUGUCCCUUCCAUGUAAGCAGUGAGAUCGAAAAGAAAUUGACUGAAUAACAGUGGCAUAGAUAUGGCCAGUCCAACCAGCACUGAUUCCCAUCGCUAUCAGGAUUCUAUUCAAUAAUAGGGCUAAAAAGUCCUACUCUUUAUUAGAGGCAAUAAUUUUUUAUUGAUGUAUUCAUUUCAACUGUUUACUCGUUGAUGGAUCAUUGAGACCCCAUAGACCUUCCUGAUAUGUUACUACUAAGCUAUUAUCAUGACAUGGAAGUUGAUAUAUUCUUCAAUCAUGCCAUAAAUUUGCAUUACUAAUUCUAAUAUAUAUAACAAAACACACUGAUUUUACAACAAAAGAAAUAUUUUGCAGUAGAACUAAUAAAAUUAGUUUGAAUUUUUAUGUCUCCUAGUGCAUGAUACUGUAGUUUGAGCAAUGAGGUACUGUACUUACACCUGCCAUAUAACAAGUAACACAACAUGUGACUAAGUACAUAUAUACAGUACUUAAAUUAUUUCUACUGACUAGCCAUAAACUGUGUUUUAAAACUUACUGCCCUCAACGACAGUAUAUUACCUACAGUCCAAUAGACUCUAAACAUUGCGAUUUUACAAUAAAUCCAUUGAAUGGUGUUUAUUUAGUAAUUUUUAAAAUUCAGAUUUUUGAUAUUUUGUACAGGCAAAGCAGUACUAUUGCUGUUGUAUAUAUAAUAUGAUGUAAAUCUGAAUAUGAUGUAUUGAAGUAGGAUGUUACAAACAAAUAUUUUACACUUCUGAAAUAAAUUAUGUGAACAUUAAAAUCGAUUGUAAUAUUAAAUUAGAUAAAUUUGUAAAAAUUAAUUGGUCAUUAAAAAACUCAUUUUAUCGACAAACUUCUGUUGACUUCAAGACAGAUUGAAAAUCAACGGAAUACAGAAUAUUUUGACAAGUAAAAUCCGAUCGACUUUGAUAUUAUGUUUUAUUUUCAUUUUAUCAGACAACUUUACAUCUUCUGUUUUCAUCGAGAUGUUGUCGUACAUGCAAGUUUUUAUCCCUUUUUAGGUCUUCAUUGAUUGUACAGUCUAUAUAGAUGGAAUUACAUCCAGCACAUUUAAAUUUAAUGUUCGGCGUAGCAUCUUUAGUACCAAAGAAUUUGGCUAAUUUUGGUGGUAUUGAAUGAAUGUAACAUACCUUGCAACCAUUACAAUAUUUUUUUCAGUAUAGAUUUUUUAUUCUACACUUAAUGUUAUCUGGAUAUUUGCAAAAAUAUGGAAGUUUUACAUAAAAUACAUUAGCACUUUAAUCAUCUUGUGGUUUUGUUUUAUGGUCUGAUAUUAUACGUAUUAUCCAUAUAAUAGUCUCAUCAUAAUGUGGAUUGAUAACCAUUUCGUAGCCUUGUUUUUCAAAGACAAACAGAUCAUUAUAGAUCAAGCCAAGAGUGUUUUGUCCAAUCUUAAUUCGUAACUAAAUGGACAGAAUCUAUAAGGGGCCAUUCACGCCGAAUCCGAAUUGUGGAUCGGAAAGCUUGUGUAAAUGCUGCUUAAAAAACCGAAAGUGGUUUUUCUAAAGAUUGAUGUUUUCACUUUACCAUCUUGCUUGUGGUUAAGAACAUCCAAUAUGUAUAUGUAUAUACUCUUACGCUGAGGUAGGCAGGGCAGCAGGUGAAAAUUUCGUUCAGUAAAUGUAUGUCUCAAAUUGUGUCAAAGUGUCUGGCGUUAUUUUAUCAACUGCAGUUUUGAUAAAGUUGCAGCCACUACAAGGUCGUCGGACUAAAAACUUUAAUUUGUCGAUCCAAAUAAUCUGAUGUAGAGUAGAACCCCCUUCUUUUGGAGAAUACAGAUCAUUAUAGUACAGUAAUACAAAUAAUUGUUAGUCAAGAAUACUAUACUGCUUAGCUACCUUGUUCCAAAUUUUCAGUCGCACGGAAAUGAUCGGAUACCCUUUUGGACACCCAUAUGCUGGGGGGGGGGGACACAACUAUAGAGGGGACACUUUUCCGUGAAACGAUGAUACAGCCAACCCCUAAUAAGGAGACAGGGACACUUUUUGAGUGUGCAAAAUGGCCAAAUCAAUACUAUUUAACACCUAUUAAGUGGACACAUUUUUUUUUAAAUCAAAAUAGCUACAGUAGUCACAAAGUAAGUCAAAAAUCAUUGAGAUUUUUUCCUCUCGAUCUUUAGAAUAAGAAUGGGUAUAUGCCUAGUGCAGGGGUUCUCAACUAUAUCAUAAGGGACAAAAUUGUUCAUUGAAUAAAUUUGAAGGGCCAGGGAAAGAGGUGUGCUAUGGCGGAUAGCGUCAUCUGGGCGCCGCAGGAGCGAGCCUGUUGAGGGUUUGGGAGGGGUGGCCCCUUCCCGAAUUAAAAUCUUAUUUUUUAAAUAAUAAGCCACUAGAUGCUCAUUAAAGGUGAAACACUGAGAAACUCUGUCGAAUCCUUCUGCUGGCUCCAAAGACAUUUGAAGGUUUUUGCAAAUUUUUUGUCUUAAAAAAAAUCAAUUAAAACAUAAUCAAAAAUUGUUUUUCCUUUGGAGCUGACUUUAACCUAUUUUACAGACUCAUAUUCUGUAAAGUAAAAAAGGCGUUGAGUUCUCCGUCGGCGGAGCUCUUUCUGACGAGGUCCUGCCACCGCAACUGACACCACCACUUAAUUUCAAUCUUCGUAAAAUUAGAGUUAUUUGGAUCUGAUGGUUUUAAGAAGCAUGAAAACUUGUAAAGUGCUGCAUUCUAAAAAUUAGUUGCAUAGGCCUAUAAUAAGGAACUUAGAAAUAUUUAAAUUAGGUUAAUUUAAUUUUAUUUUUAUUUCUCCAAACAGCAUAAAGGCCAAUAACAGGGAGAAUAAAAAUAAAAAAUACAAUAAACAUUCAUGAUUAAAACAAUUUGUAAUAAUUACUAAAAUUCGAAAGAGCAUAAAAAAAAAUCCAAAUGAUUAAAACACAUUUUCAGGGCCUAAGUGUAUGGUCAAAUGACUCGUUUAACUUAGAGUAAAAAUUAAGUAAGAGGUUGGUAAGAAAAUAUCAACUGAUGGUUCAUUGUACUGAAGAAAACUCUUAACCAGAUUUGCUGCGUAGCACCGCAAGCACUAGUGGUGUAAACAAAAUAGGAAGGUGUUAUAAUAUUAUCAACCAAAUGUUGAAUUCCUUUAUUUAGUUGUACGACAAAAGUGUCUGCAGGCCUCGAAACUGUAACCUCAUGCUAUCAAGGCGAGUGUCAUACUCAUAGACCACGGAGACCAUAUGAUCAUGAUAUACAUGCAGAUCUACACCCCCUCCCCCCGACACUUUGUAUGUAGGCCUAUAUCAUUAUUAUUGUUGUUGUUUUAAUAUUAUUUAUUAUUAUUCGUAUUGCAUUUGUGUGUAUAUAUAUGAAUAAAACAAGAAUAAACCUAUAGGCUUAUAAAUAGGCUAUAUAAUGUACAGAUAAAGAUAAUAUAUACAUAUAAAUUAUAAACAUAUAAAAAUAAAAAUAAAGUGGUGUUAAUAAAGAAAGCACAUAUCAGCUAUCAAUAUAGAACAGAAUAAAGAGAUGGUGAGAAUCAAUUGUAUGGGAAGCUGAUAUGUGCUUUCAUAUCCCAUCUUUUACUCUUUAAGACUUCAUAAUCAUUUACCGGUACUUAUUUUGUAGUUAAGCCCGCUUCCCACCAUAUUGUUCUACUAUGUACGCUUAAUUAAGAAUUGUUUAAUCUAUAACACCACUAUCUCUAUACUUGACCGCUUUGUUCUCUGUCGGAUUUCUCUUUAUAUAUUACCGCAUAAACUAUUAGAUAAUUGGCCUAUAAUCCGUCUACACCUCUAUUGUAUUGUUAAUAUUGUACAGUGUAGAACUUGUAACAGCUAACUUGUACAUUUAGUAAAGCUGAUGAAGGCCAGAGGACUGGCCGAAAAUUUCUUUCGAAAAUAAAUGAAGUGUUCUACAGUCUA